rnacentral:rRNA from 1 species
UACGUAGGGUGCAAGCGUUAAUCGGAAUUACUGGGCGUAAAGCGUGCGCAGGCGGCUAUGCAAGACAGAUGUGAAAUCCCCGGGCUCAACCUGGGAACUGCAUUUGUGACUGCAUAGCUAGAGUACGGUAGAGGGGGAUGGAAUUCCGCGUGUAGCAGUGAAAUGCGUAGAUAUGCGGAGGAACACCGAUGGCGAAGGCAAUCCCCCUGGGCCUGCACUGACGCUCAUGCACGAAAGCGUGGGGAGCAAACAGG